AUUAUCUCUAUUCGGCAUGCUAAUCUCUGGCCUGAAAAUUGCAGUUAAAGUCUAGGCUUUCCAACAAGGGAUCGGCCUCUGCUGAGCUGAACCAUUUCCUGCUGUUCAAUCCACUCCCUGCCCAGCUUCUGAGGGCUCACAAAAGGAUGUCCCAUGUUCUGGAAAAUGACAUGACCAGAGCAGCAUUCUCUCUGAGGAAACUGCUCCCCCUCCUUUUCCACUAGGCAUGUGUUAUAUCCUGUGUUCCUCACCAAAUAAAGUUACUCUUCCCAAGCA
rnacentral:lncRNA from 1 species